rnacentral:rRNA from 1 species
GACGAACGCUGGCGGCGUGCUUAACACAUGCAAGUCGAACGGAAAGGCCCUGCCUUUGUUGGCUGCACGAGAGGCGAACGGGUGCGUAACACGUGAGUACCCUGCCCUUGCCUUUGGGGUAACUUCAGGUAACUGGGGCUAAUACCGGCUAAGAGCUCCUGAUGCAUGGUGUGGGUUGGAAAGUUUCGGUGGGUGGGGAUGGACUCGCGGCUUAUCAGCUUGUUGGUGGGGUAGUGGCUUACCAAGGCAUUGACGGGUAGCCGGACUGAGAGGGUGACACGCCACAGUGGGCCUGGGGAGGCAGCCGUAGUGCUACGGGAGGAAGCAGCGGGAGAUAGUCCACGAUGGGCGGCGGCCUGAUGCAGGGACGCCGCGUCGUGGAUGACGGCCGUCGGGUAGGAACGCGCGUGCGCCUGUGACGAAGCGUGAGUGACGGUAAUGGGUAAAGAAGCACCGGCUAACUACGUG